UGCUUAAACACCGAGACAAAGAGUGGAUAUAGCGGCACUCCUUUCAUUUUCAGAGAAACAGCAUCACCGCCUUCUUCUUCUCCUCAUAUUCAUCGUCUUAUUCGAAUUCCAUCAACAAAACUCAAAUCAAUUUCCGUUCAAAUUGGCUCUCACCUUCUUCUUCAUCUUCUUCCAAAAGAUCGGGAGCUGCUGUAUACUACACUUGCACUAGCAAUUCAUAUCAGGUUCAUUCCAACAAGGAUGUAGGGCAAGUACUAAUGGAUAUAGAGAAUAUAUUUUUUGAUUACAAUCAGAUAAGCCUUCUUCUAACCGGAUAUAGCCUCAACAAUUAUGGCAUUUUCACAAUAAAGGUCACGUACUAUUUGUAUUCUUUCUGCCAGUGGUGUCAUCGGUAAUGUAACUCUUCGCCAGCCUGCAACCUCUGGUGCACUGUAACUUAUGAGGGUAGAUGUGAGAUAAUAUCUUUAAUAGGUUCAAUGGAUAUGAGAAAUGUUCAUGCUUGAUCUUACCACGUUGUGGCAAGAUGUUGAGAACAGAACAUUAUUAUCUGAUCUGAUCAUUAAGAAUUCUUCCCAGGAUGUAUUACGAGUAAAGAGUUGGGAAUAGUUAUGAGGUCAUUGGGCCAGAAUCCAUCCUACGGAAGCUAAACUGCAGGAUAUGAUCAAUGAAGUCAAUGUUGAUCAGAAUGGAACCAUUGAUUUCCCUAAGUUUCUUAAUCUCAUGGCCAAGAAAAUGAAGGUCACUCUCACUCUCACUUUUAAAUCUUAAAAUUCUUUGAACCAGAGACCUUCUCUAGUUUUGUAUUGUUUUGUUUGGGUUAAUGAAAUACACUGAUUAUGAGGAGGAACUGAAAGAAGCUUUCAACGUCUUUGACAAGGAUCAGAACGGAUACAUUUCUACUGCUGAACUUCGGCAUGUGAUGACAAACCUGGGGGAGAAGCUAACGGAUGAAGAGGUGGAUGAGAUGAUAAGAGAAGCUGACAUGGACGGUGAUGGUCAAGUUAAGUUCUGAUUAUGGGCAUUUGGGCAAUAAAAUGGUUAAAGUUUGUAACUCAAUAAAACUGUUAUUUCCAAUUCUUUGGCGUCUGACCCCGCAACGCGGGGUUCUUCCCUAGUUUAUUUUAUUCUGGACAUAAA